AAAGACUUGACGGUACUUCACAACAACCUAGAGGAGCCUGUCUAAUAACCGAUACCCCACGAUUAACCCAACCCCCCCUGGCCCAACAGUCUAUAUACCGCCGUCGCCAGCUCACCUUGUGAAAGAAAUACAGUGAGCCCAACAGGUCCCCUCCCCCUAACACGACAGGUCGAGGUGUAACUAAUGGGGGGGAUAAGAUGGGCUACAUUUCCUAACACAGGAAACACGAAUAGACCAUGAAACUGGAAACUGAAGGCGGAUUUAGCAGUACGUUAAGAACAAAAUACUUA
rnacentral:rRNA from 1 species